UAUUGUCCUAAUUUUCAAAUCAAUCUAAGUUAAUGUCCUAAAAAAUCCCCUGACUCUAAUAAUGUUAUAUGUUAGUACAUUAAUUUUUUUUAAGAACAAACAUGAGGUUAGGCAAAUCCCCUAUUUGUAAAUAAAUCAUCAACCAAUUCUCAUUUUAAAUUGCAGUUUUCAGGACAACCCGCCCCUUUUGUGUAUACUUCACAUUAUUGUGUUUUAAUUUAUCUCUUCAAUUCUGAAUAUUUCAAAGCAAAAUAUUAAUUCCUCUUUGGCGACAUAUGGUGAAUUUCUAUUUUCAAUAUUUUGGUGAAGGCACUAUUUCUUACACAAUUUCAUUGCAUCGUAUGUAACCUUCGAGUUUGUAUAUAUAUAGUGAUAAUUUAUUGUAACUAACUAUAAUAUUUUUUUCUCGUGACGUAAUUCAAUUUCAAUUCUUCUGUCUCGUUCGGCGUCUGGAUACACGAAUAUCAGGAUUGAGAAUCUUGAGCUUCAAAUCAAGAAAACGGGUCUAGAAUUACAAAUUCUAGAAACCGACCUCAGGGAUUAUGAGAUUGGCCCUGAGCAAGAGCCUUCAUUGCAUCAGUUGUCUUGGUGUGAGAGAAACUUGAACCAUUCUCUACAAAGAGUCAUUGCUCGAAAGAUUGAUUCUGGUCAGAUGGAGUUAGAGAGCCAAUCUCAAAUACCAUUUCCCACUUCUGUAAAUCAAAACGAUCAAGUUUCAAUGAUAGAAAACCCUAUCCCUAUCUCCGGCCAAAUCUUAAUGCAGCUCGAUCCUUGGAUUAGUCCCUACAGCGCCAAAGUUCGUGAAAGCAUAUUUCAAGACUUAGUAGAUCAUGGAAAGCAACCAAUGAAUGAGAAUAUAUUUUCGUCAACAAAUACACUCGAUCACCCAAUCCCAUCAAAUAUAUCCAUAGGCUCCAAUUCAAGAAUCUGCAUCACACCAUAUUACAUCAGAGUCAUUGAUGAUGGAUCAACCCUUGUUCAACUUCCAUGACCAAGACAAUUUCAGUGCAUAUACUUCAUCUUUAGUGGUUUUUUCAGAUGCAAUUCACAUGUCCACUCAGAGUUCAUGCGGCAUCCAAGAUCCAA